UUUCGGGUGGGUGACGGGUACCUGCAGAAGAAGCGCCGGCUAACUACGUGCCAGCAGCCGCGGUAAUACGUAGGGCGCAAGCGUUAUCUGGAAUUAUUGGGCGUAAAGAGCUCGUAGGCGGUUUGUCGCGUCUGCCGUGAAAGUCCGGGGCUUAACUCCGGAUCUGCGGUGGGUACGGGCAGACUAGAGUGCAGUAGGGGAGACUGGAAUUCCUGGUGUAGCGGUGAAAUGCGCAGAUAUCAGGAGGAACACCGAUGGCGAAGGCAGGUCUCUGGGCUGUAACUGACGCUGAGGAGCGAAAGCAUGGGGAGCGAACAGGAUUAGAUACCCUGGUAGUCCAUGCCGUAAACGUUGGGCACUAGGUGUGGGGGACAUUCCACGUUUUCCGCGCCGUAGCUAACGCAUUAAGUGCCCCGCCUGGGGAGUACGGCCGCAAGGCUAAAACUCWAAGGAAUUGACGGGGGCCCGCACAAGCGGCGGAGCAUGCGGAUUAAUUCGAUGCAACGCGAAGAACCUUACCAAGGCUUGACAUGAACCGGAAUGAUGCAGAGAUGUGUCAGCCACUUGUGGCCGGUUUACUAGGUGGUGCAUGGUGUCGUCAGC
rnacentral:rRNA from 1 species